GCGAACGCUGGCGGCAGGCCUAAUACAUGCAAGUCGAGCGGUCCCUUCGGGGGCAGCGGCGGACGGGUGAGUAACGCGUGGGAACGUGCCCUUUGGUACGGAACAACUGAGGGAAACUUCAGCUAAUACCGUAUGUGCCCUUCGGGGGAAAGAUUUAUCGCCAUUGGAGCGGCCCGCGUUAGAUUAGCUAGUUGGUAGGGUAAAGGCCUACCAAGGCGACGAUCGAUAGCUGGUCUGAGAGGAUGAUCAGCCACACUGGGACUGAGACACGGCCCAGACUCCUACGGGAGGCAGCAGUAGGGAAGCUUGCGCAAUGGGCGAAAGCCUGACGCAGCCAUGCCGCGUGAAUGAUGAAGGUCUUAGGAUUGUAAAAUUCUUUCACCGGGGACGAUAAUGACGGUACCCGGAGAAGAAGCCCCGGCUAACUUCGUGCCAGCCGCCGCAGUAAAAC
rnacentral:rRNA from 1 species